AUUGAACGCUGGCGGCAUGCUUUACACAUGCAAGUCGGACGGCAGCACAGAGAAGCUUGCUUCUUGGGUGGCGAGUGGCGAACGGGUGAGUAAUAUAUCGGAACGUACCGAGUAAUGGGGGAUAACUAAUCGAAAGAUUAGCUAAUACCGCAUAUUCUCUGAGGAGGAAAGCAGGGGACCUUCUGGCCUUGCGUUAUUCGAGCGGCCGAUAUCUGAUUAGCUAGUUGGUGGGGUAAAGGCCUACCAAGGCGACGAUCAGUACCGGGUCUGAGAGGAUGAUCCGCCACACUGGGACUGAGACACGGCCCAGACUCCUACGGGAGGCAGCAGUGGGGAAUUUUGGACAAUGGGCGCAAGCCUGAUCCAGCCAUGCCGCGUGUCUGAAGAAGGCCUUCGGGUUGUAAAGGACUUUUGUCAGGGAAGAAAAGGCUGUUGCUAAUACCGACAGCUGAUGACGGUACCUGAAGAAUAAGCACCGGCUAACUACGUG
rnacentral:rRNA from 1 species